rnacentral:rRNA from 1 species
GUCGGGAAUAUUGGUCAAUGGGCGAAAGCCUGAACCAGCAACGCCGCGUGCACGAUGAAGGCCUUCGGGUCGUAAAGUGCUUUUCAGAGGGAUGAGGAAGGACAGUACCUCUGGAAUAAGUCACGGCUAACUACGUGCCAGCAGCCGCGGUAAAACGUAGGUGACGAGCGUUAUCCGGAUUUACUGGGCGUAAAGCGCGUUCAGGCGGUUUGGCAAGUCGGGCAUGAAAUCUCUCGGCCUAACCGGGAGAGGCUGUCCGAUACUGCCGAGCUUGAGGGCGGUAAAAGGUGGCGGAAUUCCGCAUGUAGUGGUGAAAUGCGUAGAUAUGCGGAGGAACACCAGUGGCGAAGGCGGCCACCUAGGCCGACCCUGACGCUGAAGCGCGAAAGCUAGGGUAGCGAACGGGAUUAGAUACCCCAGUAGUCC